GUUUCGCAUCUCAUAUUAUUUAUGUACCUAUUAUUUAUUCAUCCUUUGUGAAGGUACUCAACUAUAAAGGCGCUGGGUAGGAUAUUUUGAGUUUUGGUGAUUAUAAUUGGAGGAAGAAUGAAUGUUGAAGAAGAGGUUCAGCGACUCAGCCAAGAAAUCAAGAGGCUUGGCAAGGUCCAAGAAGAUGGUUCUUACAAGGAGGCAGCAAGUAAAACCCACUGCAUUCAUGGAAAAUAAAGGGUGAAUUGAUUUCCUCGUCAAUGAGCAUGUGCGUGCAAUUUGUAGUUUUCAUGUUUUAAUCUUUAGGUGGAGAUUUUUGCUGAUAUGUUCUAUAUACCCUUCUGAAUAGAGCUCUCUUGAGAUUAACAAAAUAUCAUCUUUUAUUGUGAAGGUGACAUUUGGAACACUAUUUAAUGAUGACGAAUGUGCAAACAUAUUUGAAGCACUUGUUGGGACACUGAGAGCAGCGAAAAGGAGAAAAGUACUGAC
rnacentral:sRNA from 1 species